ACGUAGGAGACGAGCGUUGUCCGGAGUUACUGGGCGUAAAGGGUGCGCAGGCGGCCAAGCGCGUCGCUGGUGAAAUCUCCCGGCUCAACUGGGAGGGUGGUAGCGAUACGGCAUGGCUUGAGGCUCGGUGAGGGGCGUGGAAUUCCAGGUGGAGCGGUGAAAUGCGUAGAGAUCCGGAGGAACACCAACGGCGUAGGCAGCGCCCUAGACGAGACCUGACGCUCAGGCACGAAAGCUCGGGGAGCGAACAGGAUUAGAUACCCUGGUAGUCCGAGCUGUAAACGAUGUCCACCAGGUGUUGGGGGUAUCGACCCCUCCAGCGCCGCAGCUAACGUGAUGAGUGGACCGCCUGGGGAGUACGGCCGCAAGGUUA
rnacentral:rRNA from 1 species